CUAGUAUAAGCAAUUAUACCGCGAAACUGCGAAUGGCUCAUUAUAUAAGUUAUCGUUUAUUUGAUAAUACUUUACUACUUGGAUAACCGUGGUAAUUCUAGAGCUAAUACAUGCUNAAAAUCCCGACUUCGGAAGGNNUGUAUUUAUUAGAUUAAAAACCAAUGCCCCUCGGGGCUCUCUGGUGAAUCAUGAUAACUAGUCGAAUCGACAGGCCUUGUGCCGGCGAUGGCUCAUUCAAAUUUCUUCCCUAUCAACUUUCGAUGUUUGGGUCUUGUCCAAACAUGGUGG
rnacentral:rRNA from 1 species